rnacentral:lncRNA from 1 species
AGUUACCAUAUUCCCUGUUUAAAUGUUUAAGCUCAAGAUAAUCCUCCGAUUAGGUAGGCUUUUGUUGCAGGGGAUCAUCCUCCGGUCGCGGAAACAGUUUUAAUUCCCGAAAGGCCCCAAAGAUGCGGACUAAAUCUCUUUAUAUUUGUGCGGAACGUUCGUUGAGGCGUAUUCCCCCAGGCAAGCAGUCCAGACAAGGCACCCGGUGUAUGUGUGAUGCAAAGUUCCGAUACCCUAAGAAUACCUAAUCUAUAGAUACCUGCCGCUGCCGAUGUUGCUGUUACAUUGCAUUAGACACUCGCAUAUGUAAUUGGCUUUUGUCAUGUACAGCAUCAUGCCUCAUGACACGUUUGUACGAAGCAGACGUCUGGAUCCAGCACAGCAGGGUGGUUAAGCAGCGUGGUUGUGAACUUAUUCCCGCACAACUUGCUCAUACUAUUCUCUCUGCCCGCAUUUCUGCGACCUGAUACCGCUCUAAAUGAAGCAUUAGGUCGGCACACGCGCGGUUCCCCAGCGUGGGUAACGUCGGAGAGCCUCAACAGCAGGGGGAGGUUAGGUCUGAGAUGCAUAGAGGUCUCAACGCCAUCACAGCACGCCGGCGCGCCCACGAAGUUUACUGAAGUGCGCUCGUUUUGGAGCCAAGUAGGUUGCUGUUUAGGACUACCACGUCUUAAUGGUUUAGCACGGAGCGGAUGCUGGAUGGCUCCCAGAUAUCGCCGUCGCCUCUGGGCUUUACCGUAAGGGUCGUUUGUUUUUGUUGUCUUGGAAUGUGGCCAGUUUUGUAUAUAUAGCGCUUUAACGUUUGGCGCUGCGUGCGCGUGUUCCUGUUUUCCUAGCACUUGCUUGGCGCGUUGGAGUAGUCGCGUUGCGGGCGUUUUAUCCGCGCAUUACGGCGUUACUAAAGUCUUUAAUGUUGCAGCACAGUCUUGCACUCUGUAUGUGUAAGGAAAAGAGGGAACUUAAAUAACUGCAGGAGAGUCGGGCAGCAGGCGAACUGCAGCCGUCCCACUUCUCACCGGAUCUUCCCAAUCCUGGUCGGCCUUCCAUUCUUGUGUAGUGGAUAUAGGUAAAGCUACAAACAUAUUAUAGGUAACUUUUAUUUUGGCUGCAAGAGGAGCUGCUCAGACAAUUACAAAUUGCUGGCAAAAGGGCCAACUUCAAGGCUAGCUUUCGGGAGACCGAAUGAAAUUAAAAUGGGUUUGCAUGGUUGAGCUAUCACUAUUUGAAAAUGAUGUCAUCGUGACGGAUGGCAAGUCCGCAGCCGCCGCACGCCUCGACACAUGUCGAUGCUUGGUGCAUACCUAAUCUCACAUAAUCUAUAGAUAAUGGAUUGUAUUCUUGAUAGACUGGACAUGACUGUUGGACUCUAUCGGUACAGUUGCUGUGUGGCACCCCUAGAUGAACAUCCAGGACACUGGCAAAAGGGCGCCUGCAAUCCAGCGACGUUGAAUUCCAUGAGCAAGCUUGACAGUAUUUAUAGGGGUUCAUGAACUGCGCGUGAUGUUUACAGGUUACAACUCCGUCCUUCCGGGCAGCAUGGCGGUGACUGAGACCUCCUAAUACCACAAUUCCCAAGAGGUAAAGAGUUUGCGUCAAUAUCUGGAUUGAUAUUCGUCGGGAUAACACGUGUCGUUUAUUCGACACCCUACCUAUCGAGUCUCGACUACGAAAAGCAUCAGUCCAAGUGGACAUCUUGAAAAAUUCAAUUAUAAAUGGAGAAUGAAAUCCAUUCAUGUGGCAUGUCCUGUCCCUGCACGUGCUUUCUAUACAUACGCAUGAGUGCCGCGUGGGGCC